UACAGAGGUCUCAAGCGUUGUUCGGAUUCAUUGGGCGUAAAGGGUGCGUAGGCGGCGCGGUAAGUCGGGUGUGAAAUCUCGGAGCUUAACUCCGAAACUGCAUUCGAUACUGCCGUGCUUGAGGACUGGAGAGGAGACUGGAAUUUACGGUGUAGCGGUGAAAUGCGUAGAUAUCGUAAGGAAGACCAGUGGCGAAGGCGGAUCUCUGGACCAUAACUGACGCUGAUGCACGAAAGCUGGGGGAGCAAACAGG
rnacentral:rRNA from 1 species